rnacentral:rRNA from 1 species
GACGAACGCUGGCGGCGUGCUUAACACAUGCAAGUCGAACGGAAAGGCCCUGCUUUUGUGGGGGGCUCGAGUGGCGAACGGGUGAGUAACACGUGAGUAACCUGCCCUUGACUUUGGGAUAACUUCAGGAAACUGGGGCUAAUACCGGAUAGGAGCUCCUGCUGCAUGGUGGGGGUUGGAAAGUUUCGGCGGUUGGGGAUGGACUCGCGGCUUAUCAGCUUGUUGGUGGGGUAGUGGCUUACCAAGGCUUUGACGGGUAGCCGGCCUGAGAGGGUGACCGGCCACAUUGGGACUGAGAUACGGCCCAGACUCCUACGGGAGGCAGCAGUGGGGAAUAUUGCCCAAUGGGCGGAAGCCUGAUGCAGCAACGCCGCGUGCGGGAUGACGGCCUUCGGGUUGUAAACCGCUUUCGCCUGUGACGAAGCGUGAGUGACGGUAAUGGGUAAAGAAGCACCGGCUAACUACGUG